rnacentral:rRNA from 1 species
UACGUAGGGUGCAAGCGUUGUCCGGAAUUAUUGGGCGUAAAGAGCUCGUAGGCGGUUUGUCGCGUCUGCUGUGAAAACCCGGGGCUCAACCUCGGGCCUGCAGUGGGUACGGGCAGACUAGAGUGCGGUAGGGGAGAUUGGAAUUCCUGGUGUAGCGGUGAAAUGCGCAGAUAUCAGGAGGAACACCGGUGGCGAAGGCGGGUCUCUGGGCCGAUAUUGACGCUGAGGAGCGAAAGCGUGGGGAGCAAACAGG